GCAAACAGCACUCUUAAAAUGAGUUAAGUGGAAGACAAAGGGACAAAUGAGGUAACUUCUAUAAAGAUGGAGGUUGCUUCUGGCUCAUCAGCCAUCGUUGAUGGUAACCAGUCCUACAAUUCUCAUUAGGUGGUUCUGUUACCCCACUAUUUCCUUGGGGUCUGUUGUGCUAAGGACAGGAUUGGUUGGGUAAAGGGGUGUGGCACAAAUAACCCUCAGGAAUACAGGCCACAGAGCUAAUGAAGGGCCCCAAGGAAAGAAAGACCUGCCCAUCAGCGAUGAAUUCUCUCCCCUAGUGCCACAGACCUGAGGGCACGUGACCCAGGAAUGUGCAUCCAAAGAUAAUACUACCUUCAGAGAACUCUACUUAUAGGCUGUGGUUUUUCAAGAAAAAGAAAAAGAUUCAUGAUUCAUUGAGCUCUUUCCUUGUGAGAAGAAAGGCCACUCUUUUAUGUGCUGAAGUUGGACAACAGUUCCCAAGGAAGCUGAAUUCUAGCUGUUUAUUGUUAUUGGGUUUUGCACUACGCCCUUUAUGUUGUCAUUAAUCAAUAAAUAUGUGUGGAACAAAUGAUUAACUAGAUGAAUGAUCUCCAGGUUUUCUGAUAAUGCCAUGAGUAAAAUCAGUAGAAUCAAACAUCUACCUAGAAUACUAUUUUAUAUAGUUUUGCUUUCUGCUUUAGCACUUAUAACCUCUAGAGAAUGUUCUGUAACUCCCACUGUGAUUUAAAAAUAAGCCAUAUGUGUAUGUAAUCAAAAUACACAACACAUGUUAUUUUUACAGUCUGCAUAAUAAUAUAUCAAUACUAGACAUGUAUUGCUACUUCUUGUUAUCACUGGAUAA